rnacentral:rRNA from 1 species
AUUGAACGCUGGCGGCAGGCUUAACACAUGCAAGUCGAGCGGAGAUGAGGUGCUUGCACCUUAUCUUAGCGGCGGACGGUGAGUAAUGCUUAGGAAUCUGCCAUUUAGUGGGGGACAACAUUCCGAAAGGAAUGCUAAUACCGCAUACGUCCUACGGGAGAAAGCAGGGGAUCUUCGGACCUUGCGCUAAAUGAUGAGCCUAAGUCGGAUUAGCUAGUUGGUGGGGUAAAGGCCUACCAAGGCGACGAUCUGUAGCGGGUCUGAGAGGAUGAUCCGCCACACUGGGACUGAGACACGGCCCAGACUCCUACGGGAGGCAGCAGUGGGGAAUAUUGGACAAUGGGCGGAAGCCUGAUCCAGCCAUGCCGCGUGUGUGAAGAAGGCCUUUUGGUUGUAAAGCACUUUAAGCGAGGAGGAGGCUACUAGUACUAAUACUACUGGGUAGUGGACGUUACUCGCAGAAUAAGCACCGGCUAACUCUGUGCCAGCAGCCGCAGUAAUAC